rnacentral:misc_RNA from 1 species
GUGAGUCAUCGAAUCUUUGAACGCACAUUGCACCUACCAGUAUUCUGGUAGGUAUGCCUGUUCGAGCGUCAUUUCAACCCUCAAGCUUUGCUUGGUGUUGGGGUCCUACGCCUCGCGCGUAGGCCCUUAAGACUAGUGGCGGACCUUUUGUGAUCCCGAGCGUAGUAAUUAUUACCGCUUUGGAGAGCUGGAGGGACCUAGCCGUUAAACCCCAUAUUCUCAAGGUUGACCUCGGAUCAGGUAGGAAUACCCGCUGAACUUAAGCAUAUCAAUAAGCGGAGGA